CCCUUUAGAUGUUCUGGGCUGCACGCGCGUUACAAUGAAUGAUUUAACAAGUUGGAAAUCCUUUCGGCGCUCCUCUGGAGUGCGGAAGAUCUCUCCUGAUUUGAAGAAAUUGGGUAAACUUUUGAGUGUCAUUCGUGCUGGGGAUUGGCGAUUGUAAUUGUUCGCCAUGAACGAGGAAUACCUAGUAAGCGCAAGUCAUCAACUUGCGCUGAUUACGUCCCUGUCCUUUGUACACACCGCCCGUCGCUCCUACCGAUGAAUGGUCCGGUGAAAUCUCGGGAUUUCGAAAGACCUCGUGUUUUUAGAAAAAACUUGAUUGAACCUUGCCAUUUAGAGGAAGGAGAAGUCGUAACA
rnacentral:rRNA from 1 species